UGGGGAAUUUUGGACAAUGGGCGAAAGCCUGAUCCAGCAAUGCCGCGUGUGUGAAGAAGGCCUUCGGGUUGUAAAGCACUUUUGUCCGGAAAGAAAUCCUUGGCUCUAAUACAGUCGGGGGAUGACGGUACCGGAAGAAUAAGCACCGGCUAACUGCGUGCCAGCAGCCGCGGUAAUACGUAGGGUGCAAGCGUUAAUCGGAAUUACUGGGCGUAAAGCGUGCGCAGGCGGUUUGCUAAGACCGAUGUGAAAUCCCCGGGCUCAACCUGGGAACUGCAUUGGUGACUGGCAGGCUAGAGUAUGGCAGAGGGGGGUAGAAUUCCACGUGUAGCAGUGAAAUGCGUAGAGAUGUGGAGGAAUACCGAUGGCGAAGGCAGCCCCCUGGGCCAAUACUGACGCUCAUGCACGAAAGCGUGGGGAGCAAACAGGAUUAGAUACCCUGGUAGUCCACGCCCUAAACGAUGUCAACUAGUUGUUGGGGAUUCAUUUCCUUAGUAACGUAGCUAACGCGUGAAGUUGACCGCCUGGGGAGUACGGUCGCAAGAUUAAAACUUAAAGGAAUUGACGGGGUCAUAGCUGUUUCCU
rnacentral:rRNA from 1 species